rnacentral:rRNA from 1 species
AUUGAACGCUGGCGGCAGGCCUAACACAUGCAAGUCGAACGAGUGGCGGACGGGUGAGUAAUGUCUGGGAAACUGCCCGAUGGAGGGGGAUAACUACUGGAAACGGUAGCUAAUACCGCCUACCAUCGGAUGUGCCCAGAUGGGAUUAGCUAGUAGGUGGGGUAACGGCUCACCGAGGCGACGAUCCCUAGCUGGUCUGAGAGGAUGACCAGCGCCACUGGAACUGAAACACGGUCCAUACGCCUCCGGGAGGCAGCAGUGGAGAAUUGUGCACAAUGGGCGCAAGCCUGAUGCAGCCAUGCCGCGGGUAUGAGGAAGGCCUUCGGGUUGUAAAGUACUUUCAGCGAGAAGGCGUUACACGCAGAAGAAGCACCGGCUAACUCCGUGCCAGCAGCCGCGGUAAUUC